CAACUGGGGGUCCGCAAAAGAAACUUCUAGGCUUGAGGGAAGUAGAGGUACAGGGAAUUUCCGGUGGAGCGGUGAAAUGCGUAGAUAUCGGAAGGAACACCAAUAUGGCGAAGGCACUGUACUGGGCUUUACCUGACGCUAAGAGACGAAAGCUAAAGGAGUGAUUAGGAUUAGAUACCCUAGUAAUUUUAGCCGUAAACGAUGGAAACUCACUGCCGAGCCGGUAUUCGGAGCGGUGGUCAAGCUAACGCGUGAAGUUUCCCGCCUGGGGACUACGCAUGCAAAUGUGAAACUCAAAGGAAUUGACGGGGACCCGCACAAGCGGUGGAGUAUGUGGUUUAAUUCGAUGCAACGCGAAAAACCUUACCAAGGUUUGAAAUCAUUUCAAAACUCUUUGAAAGAAGAGCCUCCUUCGGGAUGGAAUGACAGGUGGUGCAUGGCUGUCGUCAGCUCGUGUUGUGAAAUGUCAAGUUAAGUCUUGUAACGAGCGCAACCCAUGUCUUUUGUUGCUGUUUACAGUGCUUAAAAGAGACUGCCGCUCUACAGCGGAGGAAGGUGUGGAUGAUGUCAAGUCAGCAUGCCCCUUAUAUCUUGGGCUACACACGUACUACAAUGGUAGGGACAAUGAGUCGCAAACCUGCGAAGGCUAGCCAAUCUCAAAAACCCUAUCUCAGUUCGGAUUGUACUCUGCAACUCGAGUGCAUGAAGGUGGAAUCGCUAGUAAUCGCUGGUCAGCAUACAGCGGUGAA
rnacentral:rRNA from 1 species